CCCCAAAUGGCCUCAGAUGUGGUACCUUAAUGGCAAAUCUGGGCCAUCUAUGAGCGUGGAAAAUACAUGGAGAAAGAAUAUCACUGGUAGGGGUGUGAGAUUGGCAAUAGUAGAUGACGGAGUUGACUACAACCAUCCUGACCUUAAAAACAGAAUUAACUUAUCUGGGAGCAGAGACGUUUAUGAUAACGACAA